rnacentral:lncRNA from 1 species
CCUAUAAACUUAUUGAACCAAAAGCAAGUUGAAAACAAUGAAGAGUUGAAGACUAAAGUUCUUGUGCUCCCAAUGUAACUAAGAUCCAAUGUUCUCUGUGCUAAGGCAAUUCCUCCCGGUGCUUCAAGCAACUACUGAAGGGUGACUACUGGAUCCUCUCACGCCAAUUGUAAGUCAUCCCUUUACCUGCAGCUUUCCCAAACGGAAGGGGUUGUUUGCAUCCGGUGAGAGAACUCUCAUGGGUAAUAUUCAGCAAAACUAACAAGCACAGUAAUGUCAAUAGAGAUAUACCUUCAUAAAUUGGUUGUUCUCUGUGCUAAGGCAAUUCCUCCCGGUGCUUCAAGCAACUAGUGAAGGGUGACUACCAGAUCCUCUCACGCCAAUUGUAAGUCAUCCUUUCACCUGCAGCUUUCCCAAACAGAAGUGGUUGUUUGCAUCCGGUGAGAAAACUCUCAUGGGAGAUAUUCAGCGAAACUAUCAAGCAUAGUAAUGUCAAUAGAGAUAUUCCUUCAUAAAUUGGUAGACCAAGAAAGAAAAUUAACAGUAAAAACAUAUAGGGGAGAACAACAACCACCAAUAUAGCCAAGGUUGUUGCAUCUCCUAAUGAAAAUCUUCUACAUGUACUUCGAAAAGCUGCCAACUAACAUGCUUCUCUUCCAAUUUCUCGCAGAGGGAAGGCCCCAAGUUAAAAUAGCCAAAUCGCUCUGUAGUGAAACCUCUUUUAUCAUCUCCAAACUGUAAAUGACAGGAGACAAAUCCAUAUGACUAUUCUAUGAAGACUAAAUUGAAGGAGUAACCAUUGUAUUUUAAGGGUCAUGUGGGGCAAAGAAAGAUACUACAAAGCCAUACCUGCAUGCUAACUUGUAAAGAUCUAAUACAAGCUCGGAAGUCUUUAUUGUGAACCAGACCAGAAUGAAGUAAUAGCCAAGGAAUCAAAGAUGAGAGAAACUCCGUUUUACCCUACAUAUGAAAAGUCUACUUUCUAUUAGUCAAAGAAUCGCAACCUUCUUGACCAGGUGUCGAAACAGAGUUCUUCAAAGCUUAUGCCUCUAACCUUGAAACAAACUAGUUCUUCAAAAAGACCAGAAUGAAGUAACGCUUUGUACUCCUAAUAGCAAGCGGAAAAGUAAAUCAAGGGCAAGAAGUGUUUUGAGUAGCAUUUCAGGUACCUAAUAAAACAGAAGAAGAAAAGUUCUAACCAGUUCAUGCAGACAUUUUGGGAGACAAGUAUCCAGUCUUUUGACAUAAUGUAUAAGUUGGUGGCAAAAGAACAUGAACAGUUUGACAAAAAACCAUAACCUUUUUCUCUUAAUGCACCACGGCUUUAAAUGUAAUGCAAAGUGCGACUUCCAAUUAGGGAAAGCGUUAAACUUGGUGAGCACAACCCAAAACCUCCAACAGGCAAACUAAGUUCCAGUAUGUGUUCCCAUGACCAUGAAUUAAAUGCACUCUUAGAUCCAACUUUUAUCCAUAGAGAAAAGAAGUCCCACAAGGUAGUGAUGGUAUAUAACUGGUAGAGCUAUUGCAAAAUUCAUUUCAAUAAGAACAAAACUGGUUUUUCAUUGUGGUCAGGAAGACAAAGGCAAUUGAAAGCCUGAGCCACAUAUUAGCGAGACGCAAGAAAACAGAUAGCAGAAAAAUGAUGAACUUCAACCCCACACAACACAAAUUCAUCCGCAGGAGAAAAACAAAGAAUUCUUAG